UGAGAAGCUUCGACUAAGGUUCGAUUCGAGCGCAGCGAGAACGCGUUGCCGCAGGCAACGACCCGAAGGGCGAAGCGCGCAGCGCUGA
rnacentral:sRNA from 1 species